rnacentral:tRNA from 1 species
CAACACGGGCUUCAAAACCGCGGCGGCGAUGC